CCUACGGGAGGCAGCAGUGGGGAAUAUUGCGCAAUGGGGGCAACCCUGACGCAGCAACGCCGCGUGAUUGAAGAAGGCCUUCGGGUUGUAAAGAUCUUUAAUCGGGGACGAAGGUUGACGGUACCCGAAGAAUAAGCGCCGGCUAACUACGUGCCAGCAGCCGCGGUAAUACGUAGGGAGCAAGCGUUAUCCGGAUUUACGGGGGGGAAAGGGCGUGUAGGCGGGCCGGCAAGCCAGAAGUGAAAUCUGGGGGCUUAACCCCCAAACUGCUUUUGGAACUGCGUGUCUUGAGUGAUGGAGCGGCAGGCGGCAUUCCCCGUGUAGCGGUUCUAUGCGUCGAUCUUGGGAGGCACACCAGUGGCGACGGCGGCCUGCUGGACAUUACCUGCCGCUGCGGCGCGAAAGCGUGGGGAGCAACCAGGCUUAGAUACCCCUGUAGUC
rnacentral:rRNA from 1 species